GCCUGGGUGGCUCAGUGAGUUAAGUGUCUGACUUCAGCUCAGGUCAUGAUCUCAUAGUUUGUGAGUUCGAGCCCCACAUCGGGCU
rfam:Felis catus isolate Cinnamon breed Abyssinian chromosome C2, whole genome shotgun sequence.